rnacentral:rRNA from 1 species
GACGAACGCUGGCGGCGUGCUUAACACAUGCAAGUCGAACGGAAAGGCCCUGCUUUUGUGGGUUGCUCGAGUGGCGAACGGGUGAGUAACACGUGAGUAACCUGCCCUUGACUUUGGGAUAACUUCAGGAAACUGGGGCUAAUACCGGAUAGGAGCUCCUGCUGCAUGGUGGGGGUUGGAAAGUUUCGGCGGUUCGGGAUGGACUCGCGGCUUAUCAGCUUGUUGGUGGGGUAGUGGCUUACCAAGGCUUUGACGGGUAGCCGGCCUGAGAGGGUGACCGGCGACAUUGGGACUGAGAUACGGCCCAGACUCCUACGGGAGGCAGCAGUGGGGAAUAUUGCACAAUGGGCGGAAGCCUGAUGCAGCAACGCCGCGUGCGGGAUGACGGCCUUCGGGUUGUAAACCGCUUUCGCCUGUGACGAAGCGUGAGUGACGGUAAUGGGUAAAGAAGCACCGGCUAACUACGUG